rnacentral:rRNA from 1 species
UACGGAGGGUGCAAGCGUUAUCCGGAUUCACUGGGUUUAAAGGGUGCGUAGGCGGGCAGGUAAGUCCGUGGUGAAAUCUCUGAGCUUAACUCAGAAACUGCCAUGGAUACUAUUUGUCUUGAAUAUUGUGGAGGUAAGCAGAAUAUGUCAUGUAGCGGUGAAAUGCUUAGAUAUGACAUAGAAUACCUAUUGCGAAGGCAGCUUACUACGCAGAUAUUGACGCUCAUGCACGAAAGCGUGGGGAUCAAACAGG